CGGACCCCAUUGCAACGAUAAAAUGUACAAAACAACAUGCGAAAGGAGUUAGGAGCAAUAAAAAUCGCGUGUGCGUGUAUGAACAGGAAUCUCCAACCCAGUAAUCGAUAGGUAUAUUAAAAUUAAGUAAUCGAUAGGGAUUAUCAAAUUAGGGUUCGAAGAAUGGGUCGCACGUUACGGAGCGGGUAAGCUUAUCGAUCUAAGCAGGGUAUUCCGGUAGAUCCAUCAAGAUUCAUAAAUAACGGCCCGAAGAUCCGAUCUCGGGAGCUUGAGGAAAAGUUUACCAAGAUGCAUCUUGCACCAUCACCCCAAAGUGAAACCGGUUGCUGCACCUCUAGUACUUCCAUGGGAGCUAGUUCAGCAUAUCAAGAAAGCAGCUGUUGUCAUUAAGCAUUUGGAGAAGAAUAAGGAUGACAAGUUUGCCCAGUUACGCUUGAAAUCGACCGAGUCAGGUAUUAACAAGCUUGUUAACUACCUCAGGGGAACCGAGUAACUGGCAAGUGACUGGAAAUACGACAGAGCCACUGCCAUCAGCCUUCUGGCGUAGAGAAGAUUUACUUGUGUGGAGGCUUGGAUUGAGUCCUAUUUUUGGCGAGUGUCUCUUUAUGUUGCUGUUCACUAGCAUGGGUUUCUUUAAUUACCAUAUGUGCAUUCUGCUCAUAUAAGCCAGAUUUCUUGAAUGUCCAUUAUGCCAGAGAAGAUAGUUCAUAGUAUAGCUAGGAUGGUUUUCUUUUAUUACUAUAUAUGUGGCAUACUGCUCAUAUAAGCCAGAUUUCUUGAAUGUCCGUUGUGUUGUACUCGUGCCUUACAAACUAUGUUUUUGUAUAUAUGAAUAAAAUGCAUGUUCCUUUAA